CACUUUACAUGGUGUUCAAGAUGGUUACUUCCGCCCACUCUGAAGAGUCUCGGCGUCUGAUUGGUCCAAUUUUCAGUUAGGCGCCGCCUGAUUGGCCGCUGGACGAUGUCUGCUCCUAACAGAUGGCUAAAUCACUAGUUAACUAUUUUCAUCAUGGAAGUUAUACAGCUCAUGUAUCACACUUAAUAUUGAAUAUAUAUAUAAAAAGGGUUUUCCAAAAGGACCAUUUAUAAUCGAAAUACACAACUUCACACACGAUUUUGAGCACAACAGAGCGCUCAGUGAACAUCACUUCCGGGACCUGCAUCACCGGAGGGGGACAUCUAUCUUGGUCACAAACCAUCUUUGACAGUCUUCGACAGCAUGGUUGAAUCAGGCGCAUCAACACAUGAUAUAGACAUCGUGCCCAAAAGAAGAGCGAGACGUAAUCCUGAGGCUGAAGCCACCGAGUUUAUUUGAUCUGGAUGUGACAAGUCUUGUUUUAAGGCCCAGUGGAUCAAUGAUUGGAAAGACACCAACUGUUGAUGUUCUAUCUCAACAUUCUCCAGAUUCAUGUGAGCGAUAAACCGACUUCAUCCCUCCAACAGACACCAACUGUUGGGGUUCUAUCUCAACAUUCUCCAGAUUCAGAUGUGAGCGAUAAACCGACUUCAUCCCUCCAACAGAAACCAACUGUUGAGGUUCCAUCUCAACAUUCUCCGGAUUCAGAUGUGAGCCAUUAACUGACUUCAUCCCUCCAACAGAAACCAACUGUUUGAGGUUCUAUCUCAACAUUCUCUAGAUUCAGAUGACAGCCAUAAACCGACUUCAUCCCUCCAACAGAUUGACAGCAGGACAAAUCGCUGGAAGUGGGUAUGUCUCAAGCUUCUUCCACUUGGUCCACUCCAAAGCGGGCUGCAAAGGGGAAGAAGUGGAAGCAGUUGAAUGACACAUGUUGCAUUUUGUAACUGGCAACAAAGUACCAGGUAAAAAAGAUUGUGAAGCCUGCCUCCAUAAAGAACUAGUAGCUCUACAGGACAGAGAUUGGCUUGCCAUCAAGUACUACAUCCAUAACAGAAUUAUAUUAAAAAAAGGGAAAAAAAAUGUUUUCCCA